UACGUAGGGUGCAAGCGUUAAUCGGAAUACUGGGCGUAAAGCGUGCGCAGGCGGUGAUGUAAGACAGAUGUGAAAUCCCCCGGGCUCAACCUGGGAACUGCAUUUGUGACUGCAUCGCUGGAGUGCGGCAGAGGGGGAUGGAAUUCCGCGUGUAGCAGUGAAAUGCGUAGAUAUGCGGAGGAACACCGAUGGCGAAGGCAAUCCCCUGGGCCUGCACUGACGCUCAUGCACGAAAGCGUGGGGAGCAAACAGG
rnacentral:rRNA from 1 species